ACGGGAGGCAGCAGUGGGGAAUAUUGCACAAUGGGGGAAACCCUGAUGCAGCGAUGCCGCGUGGAGGAAGAAGGUUUUCGGAUUGUAAACUCCUGUCUUAAAGGACGAUAAUGACGGUACUUUAGGAGGAAGCUCCGGCUAACUACGUGCCAGCAGCCGCGGUAAUACGUAGGGAGCGAGCGUUGUCCGGAAUUACUGGGUGUAAAGGGAGCGUAGGCGGGAUUGCAAGUCAGAUGUGAAAUACAGGGGCUCAGCCUCUGGGCUGCAUUUGAAACUGUAGUUCUUGAGUGAAGUAGAGGUAAGCGGAAUUCCUGGUGUAGCGGUGAAAUGCGUAGAUAUCAGGAGGAACACCGGUGGCGAAGGCGGCUUACUGGGCUUUUACUGACGCUGAGGCUCGAAAGCGUGGGGAGCAAACAGGAUUAGAUACCCUGGUA
rnacentral:rRNA from 1 species